CGUUCCCUGUAGUGUUCGUAAGCCAACCGGGUAUUUUCUUGAGCCUAAUACAUACCCCGGGGACAGGAGGUAGCUACCCGUGUGCAUGUCCGCCCCGAGCGGAAAGCCUUAGGUGGCACUGAUGUUCCCACUUGGACCUUCUGGUUCAAGAACGAACGUUAGCGACGGCACCGGCGGGGAGCGU
rnacentral:other from 2 species